rnacentral:tRNA from 1 species
GGAUUAUAGUUUAAAUUAAACAUUUGAAUUGCAAUCAAAAAUUAUCAACAUUCAUUGAUUUAUCUUUA